rnacentral:rRNA from 1 species
UACGUAGGGUGCGAGCGUUAAUCGGAAUUACUGGGCGUAAAGCGUGCGCAGGCGGCCGCGCAAGUCGAGUGUGAAAUCCCCGAGCUUAACUUGGGAAUUGCGCUCGAAACUACGUGGCUGGAGUGUGGCAGAGGAAGGUGGAAUUCCACGUGUAGCGGUGAAAUGCGUAGAGAUGUGGAGGAACACCGAUGGCGAAGGCAGCCUUCUGGGCCAACACUGACGCUCAGGUGCGAAAGCCAGGGGAGCGAACGGG